rnacentral:rRNA from 1 species
AUUAGAUAGUUGGCGGGGUAACGGCCCACCAAGUCUACGAUGGAUAGGGGUUCUGAGAGGAAGGUCCCCCACAUUGGAACUGAGACACGGUCCAAACUCCUACGGGAGGCAGCAGUGAGGAAUAUUGGUCAAUGGACGCGAGUCUGAACCAGCCAAGUAGCGUGAAGGAUGACUGCCCUAUGGGUUGUAAACUUCUUUUAUAAGGGAAUAAAGUGAGGGACGUGUCCCUUUUUGUAUGUACCUUAUGAAUAAGGAUCGGCUAACUCCGUGCCAGCAGCCGCGGUAAUACGGAGGAUCCAAGCGUUAUCCGGAUUUAUUGGGUUUAAAGGGAGCGUAGGUUGACAUAUAAGUCAGCUGUGAAAGUUUACGGCUCAACCGUGAAAUUGCAGUUGAUACUGUAUGUCUUGAGUGUACAAGAGGUGGGCGGAAUUCGUGGUGUAGCGGUGAAAUGCUUAGAUAUCACGAAGAACUCCAAUUGCGAAGGCAGCUCACUGGGGUACAACUGACACUGAGGCUCGAAAGUGUGGGUAUCGAACAGGAUUAGAUACCCUGGUAGUCCCACCAGU